UACGGAGGGUGCGAGCGUUGUUCGGAAUCCCUGGGCGUAAAGCGCGUGUAGGCGGCCUGCUAAGUCUGAUGUGAAAGCCCGAGGCUCACCCUCGGAAGUGCAUUGGAAACUGGCAGACUGGAGUCCCGGAGAGGAGGGUGGAAUUCCUGGUGUAGCGGUGAAAUGCGUAGAUAUCAGGAGGAACACCGGUGGCGAAGGCGGCCCUCUGGACGGUGACUGACGCUGAGACGCGAAAGCGUGGGGAGCAAACAGG
rnacentral:rRNA from 1 species